rnacentral:misc_RNA from 1 species
GUACUGAUUUUAUAGGUACGAAUGACCUAAAAGUACAGCAUUCUAUUACAUUUCUGGAGUGUAUAUAACAAACAUAGACUUGGAAAAUAAAAGGGAAAGCUGAUAAACAAUGCGCGUUUAAACACAGCAGUCCCAAAACAAUUCUUAUGCGCCUUUGAAAGACACAUUAGAACCACUAAUAAUCCAAGCCUACAAAAUGUGCACAGGUGGAAAAAUAAAGAGGAUAAACGUGCACAUGCUCCUCAAAGAGAAGCCAGCAACAGUCUACCCAAGUUUAUAUUCGAUAAUGAUCCUUCCGCAGGUUCACCUACGGAAA